rnacentral:rRNA from 1 species
GACGAACGCUGGCGGCGUGCUUAACACAUGCAAGUCGAACGGAAAGGCCCUGCUUUUGUGGGGUGCUCGAGUGGCGAACGGGUGAGUAACACGUGAGUAACCUGCCCUUGACUUUGGGAUAACUUCAGGAAACUGGGGCUAAUACCGGAUAGGAGCUCCUGCUGCAUGGUGGGGGUUGGAAAGUUUCGGCGGUUGUGGAUGGACUCGCGGCUUAUCAGCUUGUUGGUGGGGUAGUGGCUUACCAAGGCUUUGACGGGUAGCCGGCCUGAGAGGGUGACCGGCCACAUUGGGACUGAGAGACGGCCCAGACUCCUACGGGAGGCAGCAGUGGGGAAUAUUGCACAAUGGGCGGAAGCCUGAUGCAGCAACGCCGCGUGCGGGAUGACGGCCUUCGGGUUGUAAACCGCUUUCGCAUGUGACGAAGCGUGAGUGACGGUAAUGGGUAAAGAAGCACCGGCUAACUACGUG